rnacentral:lncRNA from 1 species
GGAGAUGCACAGCGCAAAGAAUUAUGUGGGGAAAUGACCCGCCACACGGUGUUCUAGCAAUGACGAAAUGCCAAGAUUCAGACUGGGGAGAGAACGACAUUGAACACCUGCUGUUGGGGAAAGCGAUAGUGGUUCUGGCAACCACGACCUGCGAGAGAUGACUCAGCAGGGGAAGCAAACACUGAUACGGUACCGAGGUUCUGCUUCAAGGAAAGAAACCAUGGAUCUGGCAUUGGGAUUAUCGAUCUGGCCUCGAACUCUUAGGAGCAGCCACUUC